rnacentral:rRNA from 1 species
AAACCUUCUCGGUUUCUCGACCGGGAAGGCUUUGGACUUUGGAGGCUUUUGCUGACCUUCCUUUGUUGGAACCAGCUCCUCUGAAAUGAAUUAGUAGGGUCUACUUUGCCGAUCCUUGACGUG